UGCUUAUGAAACACAGACCAAAACACAAAACUUAACAUUUACUAAUGAACCAUGAAUGGGGUCAAGGUCAGAUUAUACCUACCAGACACAUCUGCACCAUUCAGUUAUUUCAUCCUCCAAAUAUAGCAAAACUAUUGCUAUCAAUAUAUGAUUUUUUUUUAAUGAAAACACAAAAACUUAACAGUGACCAAUGACCCAUGAGAAUUAGGUCACGGUCAGAUGCUAGACCGGUAUGUACAUCUUUAAUACAAUCAUUCCACACACC
rnacentral:lncRNA from 1 species